UACGGGGGGGGCAAGCGUUGUUCGGAAUUACUGGGCGUAAAGGGUUCGUAGGUGGCUUGCUAAGUCACACGUGAAAUCCCUCAGCUUAACUGGGGAAGUGCACCCGAAACUGGCAGGCUUGAGUACUAAAGAGGGUCGCGGAAUUCCCGGUGUAGAGGUGAAAUUCGUAGAUAUCGGGAGGAACACCGGUGGCGAAGGCGGCGACCUGGGUAGAUACUGACGCUGAGGCACGAAAGCGUGGGGAGCAAACAGG
rnacentral:rRNA from 1 species